GAGCCAACACUAAUAAAGCUUCUAACUUUAUAAACAAGCAGUAUACCUGUUUUUGGCCCA
rnacentral:tRNA from 2 species